rnacentral:lncRNA from 1 species
CACUAGUAGAAAAAUGACUUUUGGCUAAGAGAUUCCACUACUGGUAUGUGAAUACCAGUAGUUAAAACCAUUUGACCAAAGGAUUCCACUACCGAUAUUUGAAUACCGGUAGUGAAAAGUUCAUAGAUAAGGGAUUUCACUACUGGUUUUCUUAAAUCAGUAGUGAAAAGUAGACACGGUGGCAAUGUUGUAAUUACGUUGAAAUUUGUUUUAAUUGUAUUUCACUACCGAUUUGGUAUUCGCCGGUAGUGGAAUGUUCAUUAAUUAAUUAAUUUGUUCAUUCCUCUUCAUUCAUCACCUUACGCGAAGCCAAUUGCAAAAACGAGAACGCGUAUAUCUUCAUUCCCAAAUCGCCAAAUCCCUAAAAAUCCCAAAGCGCCAUCUUCAUUGAAUCCAAUCAUUCCCAAUUUCUUCAAUCAUUCUCCAAUCUCUUCGUUUUCAUUCGUUUUGAUUCGGUUUCAUUCUCCAAACCCUAGACGGCCGACCCCUUUUUCAUUCGUUGUCAACGAUUUCAUCCCGUCUUCGAUUCCCUUUUGUUCGCCGUCAACGAUUCCCUUCCAUCAACCUNNNN